GAUGAACGCUGGCGGUAUGCUUAACACAUGCAAGUCGAACGGACUCUUCGGAGUUAGUGGCGGACGGGUGAGUAACGCGUGAGAAUCUGGCUUUGGGUUCGGGACAACCACUGGAAACGGUGGCUAAUACCGGAUGUGCCGAGAGGUAAAAGAGAAAUUGCCUGAAGAUGAGCUCGCGUCUGAUUAGCUAGUUGGUGAGGUAAAGGCUCACCAAGGCAGCGAUCAGUAGCUGGUCUGAGAGGAUGACCAGCCACACUGGGACUGAGACACGGCCCAGACUCCUACGAGAGGCAGCAGUGGGGAAUUUUCCGCAAGGGGCAAACGCCUGACGGAGCAAUACCGCGUGGGGGAAGAAGGCUCUUGGGUUGUAAACCUCUUUUCUUAGGGAAGAACAAAAUGACGGUACCUAAUGAAUCAGCAUCGGCUAACUCCGUG
rnacentral:rRNA from 1 species